UCGCGAAAGCGGUAACUGUAACUCUCUCUCUCUAUCUCGCUGUCCUUCUUUCUCUCUGCGACAACGAAGGAAAAGAGAACGCUGGAGAACAUGGCGACUGUAUUUUGUUAGGUAUUCGAUUGCUUGCCCGCACUUUCUGCACACGCAGCCACAGAGUGCAUCGCUACGGACAGCGGCGGAGCGGAGACCACAAUGUUGCCGAGAUCGGAGGAUGAUAUAUCCUUUACGCGUCUUGUCGUUGCUCCUCGGAUUGAGGAAGAUAAAGCUGCUGAAAUGAGGCCUCUUCUGGCUAAAUCUUCGAGUUACGCCGGCACCGCCACAGCCUCCAAUUGUGCCGGCACAGGUUUCUAUCAGAAACGCCGACGCCGGACGGCCAGCGCGACCUCUCUCUGUCUGCUUUCUGACGGCGCUGGCGUCCGACGGGGCCGUGGUCAGGCGUUCCGUGAGGGUGUGGGGCGUGCUGCGUCCGAGACGUAUCUGGUUACUCGCCUAGGGUUCAAUCUCUUGGGGUACCUUGGGGUAGGCUACAGAUGGAUCACAAGAUUUAUUGCCCUGGGCUUUUAUGCUUUUCUACUUUUCCCUGGUUUUGUACAAGUCGGGUAUUACUAUUUCUUUUCAAACCAGGUUCGUAGAGGUAUAGUUUAUGGUGAUCAACCAAGAAAUAGGCUUGAUCUAUAUUUACCUAAAAGUAACAAUGGCCCAAAGCCAGUUGUUGCAUUUGUAACUGGUGGAGCCUGGAUUAUUGGAUACAAAGCAUGGGGUUCUCUUUUAGGGAAACAGUUAUCAGAGAGGGACAUUAUGGUUGCCUGCAUAGAUUAUAGAAAUUUUCCCCAGGGAACUAUUAGUGAUAUGGUAAAGGAUGCUUCUCAAGGUAUUUCAUUUGUGUGCAAUCAUAUUGCUGAAUAUGGAGGUGAUCCUAACAGGAUAUAUUUAAUGGGACAGUCAGCUGGUGCCCAUAUUGCUGCUUGUGCUCUCUUGGAGCAGGCAUUCAGAGCGGCUGGUGAAGGAGAGAGCACUUCCUGGAGUGUCUCUCAAAUAAAGGCAUAUUUUGGUUUGUCUGGAGGGUACAAUCUGUUUAACCUGGUAGAUCACUUCCAUAGUCGAGGUCUAUACCGCUCCAUAUUUUUGAGCAUAAUGGAGGGGGAACAAUCUUUGCAACGAUUUUCCCCUGAAGUGAUGGUACAGGACCCUAAAAUUAAAAAUGCAGUUGGUCUCCUACCUCCAGUUAUCCUUUUUCAUGGCACUGGAGAUUAUUCCAUUCCAUCAGAUGCUAGUGAAGGGCUGGUUGCAGAGAUAGAUCAAAAUUUAGUGGCUUUGAGAUGAUAUCAUUUAGUUGAUGGGUUCCAAAGUGGGAGGGGAAGGUGAAGCAGAUGGUGGCAGAACUCAGUGAAAAUUAUUCAGCACAAGGAAAGGGUGAAACUAGAGAUUUCUUUAACUGACUGCUAUUCUGGGUAUGGGACAUUUUGUCUGCUACAAAUUGUUUGCUUGUGGCAGUACUUAUUGAUUAAUGGUACAAGUAUAUGGUUUGGCAACAAUGAAGCAUGUGCCUUCAAACAGGUUGAACAUUAGAUUCAAAAAGUUAUGCAAACAUAUUCGUAUACUUGGCUUAGGCCCAGCUAGUCCCAGAGCAGGCCUAUCGACAUAGAAUGGAAAAGGAAUAGCAGUGUUGACAUCAUCAAAAUAAAUAGGAUUGCAUCUUCCACAGGUUUCAUCAAAAUAAAUAGCAGCAUGAUGUUCACUACCAGAUGUCCCUGUAUUUUAUUAAAGCUUGGUGUCUAAUAACUAUGUAAACUUACUGGUGCAGCAAGAAUUUUUCUGCUGCUCUUCAAAGAGUUGGAGUGAAAUCUUAUUCAAUUUUCUAUGAAGGUCGAACCCAUACAGAUUUAUUUCUCCAGGAUCCAAUGAGAGGUGGUAAAGAUCAAUUGUUUGAAGAUUUAGUUUCUAUCAUUCAUA